AGAGUGUUCAAAACUAAAUCUGUGGACAAGACAAAAAGAAAAGAGCUGUGAACUCUUAAAAACAGCAAUUGUGUGGAACUCUAUAGACAUUGUUUUCCUAAGUGAUAUGUUUGGUUCGUAAGAGGAUGUGCCCUCUCUGCAUCAGUUUCAAGUAGUGUGCAAAGAUGAUGGAGAUGGUGCAAGAGAGCUCCAAAACUUUCAUACCUUCAGUAUUAUCUGAUGCCUUUCUGGCCAGUAAGUCUACCUGAUUUGUGAAUAUCCAGCAGGCAUUAUAUCCUUCACAGCAGGCAAGCCCAGUGGCAGUGGAUGAAAACAGCAGUGACUGAGCACGGAGUCGUGCUGCAAGGCUUGAGCGAGCUCUCUCAAAGAAGCUGAACACCUCCUGCAUCGGAGAACCUAUGGCAGAGGAAUUUUAAACAAGCAACCAACAUCAUGGAGGCAUCUGAACUCUCAUCUCCACCACUGAGAAAGAACCACCUUGCUUCCCUCAAAGCUGUACUGGAGGCCACCAGGUUAAUUCCAUGCUAUAUGCAUGGAUGAAAAGGAGGAUAAGAAGAAAGAGCAGGUCAUGAAGUGGCAAAGGUAUACGUGGAAUACAAAGGAAGAAAGUAAAAUAUGCAUUUGAUGUACAUGUGCACAUGCCAGAUUUACAAUCAACCCAAGGAGGACUGCCUUUUUCCCAGGAACUGAACACAACACCUGAAAACCAACAACUGCACCACUACCUCAGGUACCAAAUUAAAAGA